GCUGGUCGUGUGCGUUGAACAUCAACAUUUGGCGCUGGUUCACAAAUGUUAUAUUUUACUUAUUAUUGUGCCGGCUUUUGCCAUCCUGGCUAUGUGAAAACUGCUGUGUAACUUAUUACAUGAUCAGCUUAGGAGUCUUUGGAGAUGGUUAUACCUGAUGAAACACUGCUGAAAGAAAACCAUUUGCCUAUGGAUAAUAGUAACCCUAAGUGCAUCAAAAUAUCGUUCCUCAAAAAAAGUUUCUAGAAUUUCGCCAUCAAAGUUAUGAGGAAACUAGUGGAGCUUCUCAAUUCAUGAUGAACUAAGGAUUCUCGAUCGCCAUUGGAGAUGUUGCAUUUGAUGAGGCAGGCGAUAGCGAAUGUAAUCCAUUGCUAUACAGUGUGCAAUCGCAGCAUCUCGAGUGUCAAUAGUGCAAUUCGCACAUGGAACGAUGUUUCAACAAAUACGAAUCCAGACGUCUUUGCGGUUCAACGUUGGAAAACGAAAUAGGGAGCGAUUAUGGCGUCUUGCGCAGUAUGUUCCAUUACGAUCCUGGUAACUGAACAUAUUGCAAGCGAUUUUGUAUUUGUAUCCGGACAUUGGAACCAUUUUAAGUAGUACUCUUUAUUUGUUCCUCGUGCUACCACAUGAAACCUCUCGUUGUUUAUUUAGGACAAUGUAACCGAUGUAUGCUGGUACAAUUUUGUACAGGUAGUCUUAAAGAGAGGGAAUUCUGCCUUAUGUUGAAAAACAAUGUGCAUGUCCUCGUUCUCCGUACCAUAUUAAACGUCGGCAAGUUGA